rnacentral:rRNA from 1 species
UACGAAGGGGGCUAGCGUUGCUCGGAAUCGACUGGGCGUAAAGCGCACGUAGGCGGACUCUUAAAGUCCAGGGGUGAAAGUCCUGGAGCUCAACUCCAGAACUGCCUUUGAUACGUGGGAGUCUUGAGUUCGGGAGAGGUGAGUGGAACUGCGAGUGUAGAGUGAAUUGUAGAUAUUCGCAAAGAACACCAGUGGCGAAGGCGGCCAACUGGUCCGAUACUGACGCUGAGGCGGCGAAAAGCGUGGGGGAGCAAACAGG